CCUCUCUCACUUCCUCCUCCCACUGCAACCCCAUCUGUACAUCACGUCCGGUGCUGUCUUUGCCUUCAGUUGCUGCAGAUGGUGGCCAUGGGAACUUGAGCAGUCCAGGUAUAUAAGGUAUCCAUCGAUUCCACCCUCACAGCUGAGCGACACAUACCCACAACCACCCAAAUCUAUGUGCAUCCUCCUGCCACCCACGUCGGCGUGGCCCACACUGCAUCCGGCCCACCCGCCACGUGUCCCGCUCCGCAUUCGGCCUGCCCAGUGCCCGCUGCGUCACGCGCCCGGCACUGGCCAUCAGCUUCACACCGUUGCAGGCCACACAUGUUGUGUUCGGAGACGCGGACGCGCCGUCGUGUGGUUGUAUUUGCCACGCCGGAGGCGGAGAAGAAGCCGCCCAGCGCCCACCACCAGGAGAAGUUUUAUUCCCUUAUCCUUUGGGUAGUUACUUCAUGUGGAGGACUUGAAGCUUAGAAUGUUUUUAUAUAUCUCUUAUGGAAAGGCUUCACCCUUCCAAUUAUUGUAAUAAGUUAUGCACUUCGAGUACUAUCAAGACUUGUAAUAAAUACAUCUCUUUCUACAAUGUAAAACUUGAGUUCUGGAAUGUAAAGUGUACUUUGUAAAAGUCUUCCGGUCUAUCUCCAAUGUGUGUGUAUCAAAUGUGAUUACUGUAAUAUACCUGUUAUGUGGGAGAUCCUU